rnacentral:misc_RNA from 1 species
GAUGAAGAACGUAGCGAAAUGCGAUAAGUAAUGUGAAUUGCAGAGUUCAGUGAAUCAUCGAAUCUUUGAACGCACAUUGCGCCCGUUAGUAUUCUGACGGGCAUGCCUGUCCGAGCGUCAUUUCAACCCUCAAGCACGGCUUGGUGUUGGCGGAUUGCGUGCCCUAGUGGCGCUGCAACCGCCCAAAUACAGUGGCGGUCCCGCUGCGGCUCCCUUUGCGUAGUAACUCACCUCGCACUGGACCGGGCGGCGGCUCGCCGUAAAACCCCAACUCACGAAAUGUUGACCUCGGAUCAGGUAGGAAUACCCGCUGAACUUAAGCAUAUCAAUAAGCGGGAGGA